UACGGGGGGAGCAAGCGUUGUUCGGAUUUACUGGGCGUAAAGGGCGCGUAGGCGGUCGUGACAAGUCACUUGUGAAAUCUCCGGGCUUAACUCGGAACGGUCAAGUGAUACUGUCGGACUAGAGUACAGAAGGGGCAACUGGAAUUCUCGGUGUAGCGGUGAAAUGCGCAGAUAUCAGGAGGAACACCGGUGGCGAAGGCGGGUCUCUGGGCCGAUACUGACGCUCAUGCACGAAAGCGUGGGGAGCAAACAGG
rnacentral:rRNA from 1 species